GCCAUCAUUCAGUUGGGCACUCUAGCGAGACUGCCGGUAAUAAACCGGAGGAAGGUGGGGAGUGACGUCAAAUCAUCAUGCCCCUUACUGACCUGGGCUACACACGUGCUACAAUGGUUGGUACAACGAGUUGCGAGUCGGUGACGGCGAGCUAAUACUCUUAAAGCCAAUCUCAGUUCGGAUUGUAGGCUGCAACUCGCCUACAUGAAGUCGGAAUCGCUAGUAAUCGCGGAUCAGCACGCCGCGGUGAAUACGUUCCCGGGCCUU
rnacentral:rRNA from 1 species